UAACCAUUUUUGUCCAAAGACUAGUCAUGAUGGAACUAAACUCCUAGUAUAUAGAAUCUCUAACAGAAAUUUUGGAUUUGGUUUAAUCAAAGAGAAAUGCAGAGGCUUUUCUGGUUGUGUAAUGUGGCUCAUUAUUGUAAAAAACAUAAAUAAAAAGAAAUACAUUCCUCACUCAUCUUAAACCAAGAGCUAAUACCUAAGCACAACUUUUCCUCCAGAGAACUGAAACAAGAGGAAGAAGAAGAAGAAAGAAGCCGCUGAAAAAUCUAGCUGCUUCCAAUUUCAGUACGCAGAAGCUUAGAGAGAAGAUUACACCAACUAGAGCUUCAUUGUAUUCUUGUAAAGAAGAUAGCGACAAUGCAAGUCAAGAUGAUCAUCAUUCUCCAAACAAUCAUGUCAUGAAUCAGAUCGGGAAAUGAUAAAAUAAACUGAGAAUUAUUUCAAGUUUUUCUUAUAUGCUAUCAAGACAUUUUGACAUAUGAUUUUGUGGGAUUGUAAUUCUCAUUAUACUUUCUUACAAUUAACUAUUAAAGAGUGCGGAUGGGAUCAAGUUUUUUUCGAA